AAUAAAUAGAUUAGAAACAUAAUUUAUCGAGAGCUUUUUGAAAAGUAGAUUUAACUUAGUAGCAGAGUAGUUUAUAUCAUUCAAUUUGUCGAUCAAAAUCUGGGCGAGACGUAAACAUUCCACAAAUUGUAACACAUGUAGAGACUUGUCCACAUGCAACAAUUACCGUUGAGCGAAAUCCAAUAAAUUUCUCAAAGCAUAUCAAACAUCCCAAUAUCUGAAGAUAGAGAGAGAGUUGAGAUAGAAUACUAUCGAUAGCAGAUGGACUCUGUUGCUAUCGAUUAGUUUUCGAUGAUGAAGCCUCCAAAUUGACGAUCGGUACUAUUGAACAUGAUCUAUAUUGUAUCUAGAAAAUAAACUUUAUAUGUUUUCGAUAUUAUUCUCUUAUGCAUUAAGAAGAUAUAAAUAUUCUCAUAAUCAAAAUCAAUAGCAUUUAUAUAUAUAUAUAUAUAUAGAAAACAAAUAUCUCCCCUAUACAGAGUAAAGAGAGAAAAUUCAUAAGCCACGAAAAAUAAUAUAAGACUCUCCCCAUAAAUACCACUCCUCACAUACCAAAAAAUAAAAAUAAAUAAAAAAUACAACAAUCAAAUAAACCACAAAUGCGCCAAAUGAAACAAAUCAUUUCCCCCUUCUCCUCCCACAAGAAAUGGGCCAUUUUUUCAAAUCAAUGAGCGAGGAGGGCGAAGAGCGAAACGAGAGCGGCGAUCGCGAGAGCGCGCAGGGCGGGGAUAGUCGCGCCGAGCACCGCGGCGCUCUCCAUCGUCGGCGCCGGCACCGGCGCCGCCGACAAAUCCUCUUCCUCUUGCGCAUUGGCCACGGCCAAUACAACAAACACUGCAACGAGAAGAGCCUUCGUUGAGAGCUUCCUCAUUGCCUCCAUGUAUAAUAAUAAUUCUUCGAGAGAGAGUAGUAGUAGUAGUAGUAGUAAUAUAUUGUAAUAAUAAUGCAAAACUAGAGGGGGGGUUUUGCUUUUGUUUUUUGGGGUGGUGGUUGUGGGGUUUAGGGAGAUGGGGAGGGGCGCGUAUAUAUAGGGAGGGAUUUGGGAAGGGGGGAAUAUAGCCGUUGCGAAAAGGGAAAAGGUGGGGAUUUUGAUUUUGAGAUUUUUCUUUUUUGAAUUCGGGGGUGUGGGGCCCACGAUGGAGUGAAGUAGCCGUUAAGAGCGUACGCGUGGCGAGCGGUGAGUGGUUGCGGUGGUGUGGGGCCCAGCAGUCGACGGUCCAACUUACCGUUGAAAUGUCGGGGCCGGGAUUGCUUGGCGGGCCGGCGAAGCGGCCGACACGCGGAUCGAGGUGAGGUUGCCGUCUGGACGAGGGAAAAAAAAAUAUCUUGAAUGUACCGGAUAUAUAUAUAAGCAGGCUGCUGUGCUCUCAGGUGCACGGAGGCCUCCGUGCUCCUGAGCCGUUUUCGACGAUGGAGUUUUUGAAUCGACGAUCGGCUCCGUUAAACUUGAUCUAGCGUAUUUAAAGUUUCUAUAAAAUAAUUUUUGCGAUUUUUCGAUAUCAUUUACCUAACAAUCGAAAGAAUUCAAAAUCAAUAAUUUUUAACGGCUGAAAAUAAAAAUUCUAUAAAAAGUGGUGAUAUAGCACUAAAAUUUUCGAUCAGAAAUAUAGAUCUUGUUGUAGAUAGUAUAAAGAAUUUUCUAUCAAAAUUUCAUCUGAUUUGAAUAUUUCUACACCGUUAAACUUGAAAACGGCAGAUAUCAACCAUUAAAAAUUAUGGAUUUUGAAUCCUUUCGAUCACUAGGUAAAUGAUAUCGAAAAAUCGCAAAAAUUAUUUUCUAGAAACUUCAAAUGCGCUAGAUCAAGUCUAACGGAGCCGAUCGUCGAUUCGAAAACGGCUCAGGAGCACGAGACUCCGUGCUCCUGAGAGCACAGUAGCCCUGCUCUAUAUAUAUAUAUAUAUAUAUAUAUAUAUAGAGAGUUGAGCUAGAAUACUAUCGGUAGUAAACGAGCCGUUUUACUACUGAUUUGUUUUCGAUGAUAGAACUUCCAAAUUGACGAUCGGCUCCGUUGAACAUGAUCUUAACCACUUGAAGUGUUUAGAAAUCAAAUUUCAAAUCUUUUCAACAUCAUUUGCCUAAUGAUCAAAGGGUUUCAAAAUUUGUAAUUUUAAUGGU
rnacentral:lncRNA from 1 species